UUGAAAACUUGCAAAAUACUGAUAUUGAAGAAAAUCAGAAGGGAAAAAUAGCAAUUAAUCCCAAUAAAGAUGCAUAUUUAGAGAGAUGCUGCUCUAAUAGCUUACAAAAAAGCAGUACCUCUCCUCAUGUUAUCAUGGCAUCAACAUGCUUAAGAGUCAGGAGUGUGUUAAGGUCAAAGGAUGACAGCAGAGCCACAGAUUUUAUUUCCAAUAUCUAUUCUUGUGUCAAUGUGUGACCUGGAUAGGUCAGUAUUGGACACAACUUACCUGAAGACUAAUAGAUCUUCCCAGCCAGUCUCAAAAGAUGUGGAGUGGGCAGGUGCAAACACUAACCUGCACAAACACUAACCCACACAUUCCCAGGACUCACACUGAUACACCAAGGCUUCCACUUGCAAAACCCUGGCUGUAAUCAGGCUGCAUAAACAAACAAGUGUGCAGCUGCUUACGAGGAUUAUGCCCUUUAUACUGAGGGUACAAAUCCAGAGAUGCAACCAAGCAAAGUGGAAACUUCAAUUAAAACAUUAAUUAAGUGAUAACCUUGUCAUCACACUUCUUUUAUAUCACAAGUCAGCACUGCUAUCCAUACGCUAAAAAAAUCAAAGACACAUGGAAAUAGGGAGACAGUAGCAAAGCCAUGGCCUCAGCCUAGUUCUGCUGAAGUCAUGGGAGACAUGUAAAUCUGUCUGGUGUGCCUAGAAUGUUCUGAAAAAUGAGCAGCUGGCUUAAGGUCAAACUUCCCUCAGUCUCCAGCAAUGAUUCAAUCAGAAGCUACUUGAGACCAGCAGAAAGGCACUCAUUUUGAUACAUAACAGGAAAUUUAAUGCCUGAUGCCAGCUGAUGCCAUAUCUGCCUCCAAAGCUGGUAUCUGGUGAGAAGCAAAACAUGAAACUUCACCAUUCAUUCAAACUUGACAGAAGUCUCAAGGUCAAUUUGGUAACAAGGGCUGUCUCAUCUUUUCUCAGUUUUGGCAAGAACAUGUCUUGCAGGUAUCUACAGGAAUUAGUUUUUGGGAGAAGACUAGCCUGCUGGCAGAAACAAGGCAUUUCCAUAGGAUUGCAGCAAGGUGAAUCCAAAGAGGCAUCAUUCUCACUAACAGGCAGAUUUGCAACACAAGAGUCAGCCUUGCAACACUGACUUAACGCAAGAAGAGAGGCAAGUUCCAUUUAUUCAGAAUGAAACUGCAUCUGUGCAACUCUUGAGUCAGAGGUGUGAGCCCCUGGGCUCUGCCUGUGUCUGAAAUCCUUCCUAGCCCAGCACACAUGAAUUUCAGGAAAGCUCUUGCUUAGCCCAUCAGCUCUGGUGGUGUGUAAACUCCUAGACAGAGUUUUCUGUGCCAUGUCACCUGGAUACUUGUUCACGUACAGCAUUAAAUGGAGGCAUGCUCUAGACUGACCUAUUUGCCACACAGAAACCUGUCAUUAGCUGAAAUGCUAUUUAGAUUUUGGCAGUAUAAGAAAUGGAUAUAGGAAGGGCACAAACAGGCUAGAAGAUAUAACCACCACCCUCAUUUUGUGUGUGUUGCAGUAAGCAAAACCUACAUUUCUACGGUAAUGACAAGUCUACUGGGCAUUGUGUGACAUGAAGGACAGUAGAAAAAUUAAGUGGUGAUAUAAUAACUACUUGGGCCUCCAGGAAGGAAGGGAAUUAUGUAAGUAAUAAUCCUUUUGCUGUUAAAGAGUUUCCACAUGCUAGCAGAAGAUGGGUUCCUGAUGCCAUCUUUUUCUAAGAGUCUAAUUUCACUGGAGUUAUUAUUUCCUCAGCACUAAGAAGUUACCCACAGAGAAGAUAACUUUGGCUCUUCUGCUGCACUCCGUGUAUUUUGGAUAGAGAUACUUGGACAGGAAAAGAGAACAGAAGAAAUGCAUGUCUGUCCUUUCAGAGGAAUUACGUGUGGUGGAAGUGCCAGACUGACUUGCAGACGAGAUGAGGUCUCAGCGAGAGGUCACCCACCCUACGGAAAGAUCUGCCCCACACACGGGGGUCAACACACGCCUCAGCCCAAACCAGGAGCCGGACAGCAAAGCCACCUCCGGAUGGCGAGGCAGAGGUGCCUGCGGGGGAAAGAGAGACGGCGGGGACAGGAGGAUGCUGCCGGGCACUGCCGCGAUGCGAGCCCAGGGCAGCUGGGGCAGCGCCGCUCUGAGCAGAUGCAGCGCACGUAGAGCAGAUGUGCCGUAGAUGUUUUUAAAAACACACAUGACAGGAGGAGGACGCAGCGCAGAGCCGCCCGGGCAGGCGCACCGCUGGAGCAACAGCUGCCGGGGGAGGCCGGGGUUUUCUCUUCUCCUGGGCUGUCAGGCCCCUUGCACUUUUCCAGGAGUGCAGUACAGCACUGCUGGUCAUGCCAUGCCCCAGCCUGGGAACUCCUGCUCCCAGCGUGGUGACUUCCAUCUCCUCCAGCCUGAACUGCAUGAUGGCAGUUUUCAGCAGCAGCGUUCUGUGGGAAGCUCUCCUCCUGGAAGGCUGCGGGGGAGGGCUGUGCUGAGCCUUUCAGCGCCGUUCGGAAGUGGCUGAGAAGCAGCCGACGUGAGCAGCCACGGCUGGCACCAGCAGAGGGUCACAGAUGCUGCUCUGAGCACGGCACUGUGCAGCAUCCCCGCGCUGUUCCAAGGGCUCCACCGCCACCUGCUGUCCCCAGCGCAUCCCAGCCCGGCCAGGGAGCGCCGAGGCGGGGCAGCAGCGGCUCCCGCGGGACGGAGCCUUCCCUUCCCCUUCCCCUUCCCCUUCCCCUUCCCCUUCCCCUUCCCCUUCCCCUUUCCCUUUCCCUCCUAGCCUUGUUCUCAGCUCUUAUCUCUGAUUUAUCCCUCUGCCGGUUGUAUGGAUGGGCAGCCGGCAGUGACACUGAGCGGCAUCCUUUAGGGGAUGGGGACAGGGGGACAGCUGAAGCAGCACAGCCAGCCUCCACGCGGAUCUGUGAUGGGCAUGUGGCACCCACAGCUGCUCGGCAGCGCUGGCUGUGGCUCCCCGUGCUCUCUGGGACCCGUUCCUCAGAGACUCCAUGGCAGCUGAUCUCUUGGCUGGGAGCUCGCAUGAAGUGCAGACAGGGGGAUUUUGGUUCAGCGGAGUUCCCAGGGCAGAGAGCUGCCAACACUGAAUGAUGGACCUGUUGGAAAGGCUUCUGGACUGAGACCGUUGUCUCUCAGUCCCUGUUUGCUCAUCUAGGAUUCUCUUCCCGAUGUCUCACGUAAUCUAAAAUCACCUAAUCCUGUCACAGAGGAAAGCCCUUACUGCUCUGCAGUCUGUCUUACAUGUGUUGUUUGCUUUCUUAUUAACUCCAUAAUGUCUGGGCAGGUGACUGCUGUUCAAUGUUUAAAUACUGUGUUUUCCACAUUUACUGCAAUGAUGAUUUUUUUCCCCUUUUUUUUUAGCUUCUUUGGAAAGGAGGUUAUUCUCAUAUGUAUUACAGAGGGGUUAUUUUUGUCUAUUUGCCAUACACUUAUCUUUUGAGAUUUUUGACAACAGGCACUUUAAAGAUACCUUUGUUAACUUGAAUAAGCUAAACAACUAGUUGGUUUGGGUUAUUUUGGGGUGUUUUUUCAGUUUUUUCCAUUCUCAAUCUUCUUUCUUCUCUGAGAGAAUACUUUGCAAAUACAGCUAUUCCACCAGCUGGUGUUAUUCAGUAUCAUUAUCCUCCCUUUCUGCCAGACCUACUUUUCUUUGUUCAUGUGGGGAUUUUUUAAUGAAGAAGUCAGUAUUUCCAUCAGUAGAAUCCUGAUUUGAUGGGUGGUCCAUAGGGCCUGUUUCUCCACUCUCAUGGUACAGUUUAUCCUUGGGGUGUGCUGAGUGCUCACAGGCAGUCACAGUGUCACACAGGUAACUGCUUGGAGGGGUGCAGUCGUGUUUGUUCACACUUAUCCCUGGAAUUAAAAGCUUCAUGGCCUUUGUUUAAAGCAUGAAGCUGAAAAUUGUCCUAAAAGAACCCAAGACAGUUACUUGAAAUCACUUUUAAUGACUAGGGAAGUUUGUUUCUCGACAGUUUGUUUCUGUCCCCAGUGCACAGCAACGUAAAAGUGAUAUUUUGUGAUUUUUCUGGGUUUGAAAUACAUAUAUUUUAGAUUACAACUGUUUUGUGAUGUGACACAGUGACAACUGUUACGUGAUGUGUUUUCCAUCACAUACAGAGAAAUUCAAGUUCUCUCUUGCUCUCAUUCUUGUGUUAAGAAACUGUACCUGUUCUGUGACCUGCUGAGUCAUUAAACAAUGAGGUGCUGGAGUUAAACCUCUCCCUCCACUGACACAUUUAAGUACCUAGAAAAUAAAUUGCCCUCACAGAGAUUACUUUACCUAGAAUAAAUUAUGUCAAGCAGGCUCAUUUCCAGCUCUUGGUUUUAGAAGAGCUCCUAACACUGUCUCACAUGAUCAUCCAUCUCACAAGCAAAUCCAGAAAAACACAAAUGGAUGAGUACAGAACUGGCUGCAAACUGGACUGAAAUACUUAACAUGAGCAUGUUGUUAACUUGGUUGGACACAGCAAGCAGAAUUCUGCAGGAACAUCACAACUCUGAUAUUUUCAUUAAAUAAUUUAGAUGGCAGAGCAGACAACUUUCUUGCCAGCCCCACUGAAUGGGAGGGGCAGAAAGUGUUAGAGGACAGGGCUAGGAUCUCAACACAUUUGGCAAAUUACAGUAGGGGGAAAAGGACAUAAUUCAAAGGAUGUGCUUUCACUCUCUGCAGAACAGCCAAAAUCACAAAUGCAGGCUGUGGACUUACUGGUCUGAUAGCAUCACUGUAUAAAGUGUCGUGGUGGUCAGCAUGGAUCACAAACCAAACAGGAAUCAGCCAUGCCACUAGAAAAAGGGCAAAUAGCACUGGGAGCUACAUAAAAGGGAAUAUUGUUUGCCAGGCAAAUGAUGCCAUUCUACUGACAUGCUUGGGGCUAGAAAACCUUCAGUCAGGGUAUUGUGUUCUGCUUGGGAUAGAAUAGAGAAUUGGAGGUUUUAUGAGGAAGCAUUGGAGGAAUUGGAGUGGUUUGCCUCAGAGAAAGGGGAGACAUAGUAGGAGGCCCCUAAAUAUGUGUGCUGUAUGGCUAAGGGAGAGGACAAUAAAGUCUUCUCAUCAGCUGAAAAGGCUCAGUAGGGAACAGAGAUCUGGGUUAGAUGUUAGAAACAGCUUUCUCAAGGUGUAGAUGAAAAAGGAGUGAGAGAAUAACAGAGGGAAUUACAGCCUUGGUUUUCGGGUUUCAAAUGCAGAUUAAACAAAUGUCUGUCAGAAAUUACUUGAUAAAAUUGAUCCUGUAUUUUGGGUGGGAGGAAAAAAGCAAUUUCCAUCCCUGUUUUUCUGAUAUUCGUGUUUGGAGCCAAAGACCAUUAUUUAUACAUCUAAGUUAGAUGUCUAAGUUACACGUUGUCAAGACCAGAUAAUUAUCAUCCCAAGUGUGAACUGGUUUUUUUUUGUCUCUGGUAGGCAUUUUACCAGGACUUGAGAGUGCUGAUAUCGAUCAGCGACCCCUCAGCAGUUCACAUUAGCCAGCAGAGAAAGAUCGGGGGUUCGUACAAGAUGUGUUUCACAAGAAUCUUUAUUUCAUGUGAAGGGUGGUCAAACAGAAUCCCCAAGAACAAAGGGGAGACAAUCAUAUUUAUAUGUUCAAGGAGGAUUGAAACUACAACCAAUAGGAAGUUAUACAAAGGACAGCAUCCAAUCUAAGUCAAAAGUUCUGAAGGUGAACUGACCAAUUACACAAAGUAAUUUCUAGCCAAUUAUCUUCUAAAGUGAUAGGAGAGUGACCAAAUUCUUAAGGAAUUCAGCUCAGCUUUGGUAUCUAGGAGACCUUAUCUAUCAAACUACAUGCCAGGGGCCAGGGGCAGAUGGUUUUGGGGGAAUUGUAUCAUCCACACAAAGGCUCUUCCUUUCCAUUUCUCUUUAAUAUAUCAUCAGGAAAAAAGUCUUAGUGAUUAAUAAUUCAAAUGGGAAGAAGCUAUAAAGUAGGCAGGCACUACACUAUGUAAACUUGAUUUGUUCAAAUUCAUGUUUUCCAAGUCCUAAACUUCUUUAGAGCAUAUAUGGCAGCCCUGCUAACAUCUAACCACCUGAUGGUCUGCAGACCUGCCUGUUGGACAUCAGAAUGAUUCAGCUCAGUUAAUAAAUGCCAUACUGGAACACACAUUUAACUCUGCAGCAGAAAGGAUGCUGCGUGAAAAGGGGAAAGGAGAGCUCACACAAAUAUUACUCAUUCACUCAUUCAGAAAAUGCUACAACUCAGACUCUGAGCAGCCUUUGAUAUUUGACCUCUGCAGAUGGCCUGUAAUUAAGACUCUAAUCCUUUAAACACUUUAAUACACUUCACUUCAAGUUAAUAGGAUUAGUCACAUGCCCGAAGUGUGCAUGGCUGGGGCUGAACUAUUGUUGAGCACAGCUGAUUAAAAACUUGUAGACACUC